rnacentral:rRNA from 1 species
UAUUAGUUAUGAUCUUGAAAAUUAAAAAAUUUGGCGGUGCUUUAGUCUUUUCAGAGGAACCUGUCCUGUAAUCGAUAGUCCACGAUUAAUUCUACUUGUUUUAUUAAUUUGUAUAUCGUCGUAGUUGAGUAUUUCAGUAAGAAUGCCAAUAUUCAUGAUUAAUAAUUAUUAAUAAAAUCAGAUCAAGGUGCAGUUUAUGAACAAGGUUGAGAUGGGUUACAAUAAAUCUAUUUAUAUGGAUUUUCUUAUGAAAUUGAGUUUUGAAGGUGGAUUUGUAAGUAAUAAAUUUUAUUUAAUAUUUAUGACUUAAGCUCUAAAGCAUGCACACAUCGCCCGUCGCUCU